rnacentral:rRNA from 1 species
GUUAUAUGGUCAAGUGAAGAAGCGCAUACGGUGGAUGCCUUGGCAGUCAGAGGCGAUGAAAGACGUGGUAGCCUGCGAUAAGCUUUGGGGAGUCGGCAAACAGACUGUGAUCCAGAGAUCUCUGAAUGGGGGAACCCAGCCAGCACAAGCUGGUUAUCUUGUACUGAAUACAUAGGUGCAAGAGNCGAACCAGGGGAACUGAAACAUCUAAGUACCCUGAGGAAAAGAAAUCAACCGAGAUUCCCUUAGUAGUGGCGAGCGAACGGGGACGAGCCCUUAAGUUGAUUUGAGAUUAGUGGAACGCUCUGGAAAGUGCGGCCAUAGUGGGUGAUAGCCCCGUACACGAAAAUCUCUUGUCAAUGAAAUCGAGUAGGACGGAGCACGAGAAACUUUGUC